GAUGAACGCUAGCGAUAGGCCUAACACAUGCAAGUCGAGGGGCAUCACAUGAAGUAGCAAUACGGAUGGUGGCGACCGGCGCACGGGUGAGUAACACGUAUGCAACCUGCCUUCAACAAGGGGAUAACCCGUUGAAAGACGGACUAAUACCCUAUAACACAGGGGUCCCGCAUGGGGAUAUUUGUUAAAGGACAACCGGUUGAAGAUGGGCAUGCGUUCCAUUAGCUAGUUGGCGGGGUAACGGCCCACCAAGGCAACGAUGGAUAGGGGAACUGAGAGGUUUAUCCCCCACACUGGUACUGAGACACGGACCAGACUCCUACGGGAGGCAGCAGUGAGGAAUAUUGGUCAAUGGACGCAAGUCUGAACCAGCCACGUCGCGUGAAGGAAGACGGCCCUA
rnacentral:rRNA from 1 species